rnacentral:tRNA from 1 species
GGAGAGGUGGCAGAGCGGUUGAAUGCGACGGUCUUGAAAACCGUUGAGGGGAGACCCUCCGAGAGUUCGAAUCUCUCCCUCUCCGCCA